UUUGUGCGGAGGCAGGCGGAGGAGCUGACACCGGCCAAGAGCAGAACCAGUAGGAGUGAGUUGGAGAAGCGAGGUUUACAAAUUUUUCUAAGGAGGACUGUUGAUUGGAACAAAAAGGAGAGAAUGAGAGCAGAAUUAUUUGAAUCGUAAGCUCGGGGCCAGAAGAACCACGAGAGUAACUCUGAACAGAUGAAAACUGACCAUCUUGGACAAUGGAACGAAGAAGCAGCCAGAGAGGCGCCAGAAUUUAGCGCGUGCAACUGCGGUGCAGAUGCCGCAGGCAAGGCCUUCCCAGAGAGUCAUCUUGCAGAUAGCUGUCCUAGGUCCCCGUGGUGGCAACUUACUAAAGUCACUGUCGAAGGCUUGCCUCUUCUCCUGGGGGGGGGGGGGCAGGGGAGGGGACGCUCCGCGAGCAGAAUUCCAACUCCCAGAAGAGAGCCAAAAGUCAAGACAAGUAGCCCCACGAGGAAUACGCUUCAGAGAGCCUUUCUUCUUUCCUCUUUUCUUUUCCAAACGAAAUCUAAUACUAUCUGGCUGCAAAAAUAUAUAUCACCGGCUCUGAGUCUGAAAGAUUAACAUUGGGAUACGUAGGAAAUGUAAUCUGCAUGGCUAAUUGAUUCUCAGCGUAUCAGUUUAAAGGAUAAAGAUCGAUAUCUGCAUAUGAUGGAUACUGUAUUAAUAGGGACAUAAAUAAAGGCCGAAGAGUCGUUACUGGAACCUUUGAA
rnacentral:lncRNA from 1 species